GAUGAACGCUGGCGGCGUGCCUAAUACAUGCAAGUCGAACGAGGUGCUUUUGUAGCAAUACGAGAGUAUCCUAGUGGCGAACGGGUGAGUAACGCGUUGGUGACCUACCCCAAAGUGUGGAAUAACAGUCCGAAAGGAUUGCUAAUACCGCAUGUGGUUAUCGGGUUUAGAAACUGAUAACUAAAGGAGCAAUUCGCUUUGGGAGGGACCUGCGUCCCAUCAGCUAGUUGGUGAGGUAAUGGCUCACCAAGGCUACGACGGGUAGGGGACCUGAGAGGGUGACCCCCCACAAUGGAACUGAAACACGGUCCAUACACCUACGGGGGGCAGCAGUAGGGAAUAUUGCACAAUGGGCGAAAGCCUGAUGCAGCAACGCCGCGUGCACGAUGAAGGCCUUCGGGUCGUAAAGUGCUUUUCUGGGAGAUGAGAAAGGACAGUAUCCCAGGAAUAAGUCUCGGCUAACUACGUG
rnacentral:rRNA from 1 species